rnacentral:rRNA from 1 species
UAGUUGCUGGGUAUAGACCCGAAACCGGGUGAUCUAUCCAUGAGCAGGUUGAAGGUUGGGUAACACUAACUGGAGGACCGAACCCACUGUCGUUGAAAAGCCAGGGGAUGACUUGUGGAUAGGGGUGAAAGGCUAAUCAAACUCGGUGAUAGCUGGUUCUCCCCGAAAGCUAUUUAGGUAGCGCCUCGGACGAAUACCAUUGGGGGUAGAGCACUGUUUCGGCUAGGGGGUCAUCCCGACUUACCAAACCGAUGCAAACUCCGAAUACCAAUGAGUACUAUCCGGGAGACAGACUGCGGGUGCUAACGUCCGUAGUCAAGAGGAAAACAAUCCAGACCGCCAGCUAAGGUCCCAAAAUCUAUAUUAAGUGGGAAACGAUGUGGGAAGGCAUAGACAGCUAGGAGGUUGGCUUAGAAGCAGCCACCCUUUAAAGAAAGCGUAAUAGCUCACUAGUCGAGUCGGCCUGCGCGGAAGAUGUAACGGGGCUAAAAUAUAGUACCGAAGCUGCGGAUGUAUACUAUGUAUACGUGGUAGGGGAGCGUUCUGUAAGCCGAUGAAGGUGGAUUGAGAAGUCUGCUGGAGGUAUCAGAAGUGCGAAUGCUGACGUGAGUAACGACAAAACGGGUGAAAAACCCGUUCGCUGAAAGACCAAGGGUUCCAGUCCAACGUUAAUCGGGGCUGGGUGAGUCGACCCCUAAGGCGAGGCCGAGAGGCGUAGUCGAUGGGAAAUUGGUUAAUAUUCCAAUACUUCUGUGUAAUGCGAUGAGAGGACGGAGAAGGUUAAGUCAGCCUGGCGUUGGUUGUCCAGGUGAAAGGUUGUAGGCAUGUAUCUUAGGCAAAUCCGGGGUACUCUAUGCUGAGAACUGAUAGCAAGCUGUACUUGUACAGUAAAGUGGCUGAUACCAUACUUCCAAGAAAAGUCUCUAAGCUUCAGUUACACAGGAAUCGUACCCGAAACCGACACAGGUGGUCAGGUCGAGUAGACCAAAGCGCUUGAGAGAACUCUGCUGAAGGAACUAGGCAAAAUGGUACCGUAACUUCGGGAGAAGGUACGCUGCCGGUGGUGAUAGAACUUGCUUCUUGAGCUGCUGGCAGCCACAGAAACUAGGCCCCUGCAACUGUUUAUUAAAAACAUAGCACUCUGCAAACACGAAAGUGGACGUAUAGGGUGUGAUGCCUGCCCGGUGCUGGAAGGUUAAUUGAUGGGGUUAGCGUAAGCGAAGCUCUUGAUCGAAGCCCCAGUAAACGGCGGCCGUAACGAUAACGGUCCUAAGGUAGCGAAAUUCCUUGUCGGGUAAGUUCCGACCUGCACGAAUGGCAUAAUGAUGGGGGCGCUGUCUCCAGCAGAGACUCAGUGAAAUCGAAUUCGCCGUGAAGAUGCGGUGUACCCGCGGCUAGACGGAAAGACCCCGUGAACCUUUACUGCAGCUUGACAUUGAACUUUGAUCUUACUUGUGUAGGAUAGGUGGGAGGCUUUGAAACCGAGACGCUAGUUUCGGUGGAGCCAAUCUUGAAAUACCACCCUGGUAAUAUUGAGGUUCUAACUCUGCUCCAUGAUCUGGAGCGAGGACCAUGUCUGGUGGGUAGUUUGACUGGGGCGGUCUCCUCCUAAAGAGUAACGGAGGAGUACGAAGGUGCGCUCAGCGUGGUCGGAAAUCACGCGUAGAGUAUAAAGGCAAAAGCGCGCUUAACUGCGAGACCCACAAGUCGAGCAGGUACGAAAGUAGGUCUUAGUGAUCCGGUGGUUCUGUAUGGAAGGGCCAUCGCUCAACGGAUAAAAGGUACUCUGGGGAUAACAGGCUGAUACCGCCCAAGAGUUCAUAUCGACGGCGGUGUUUGGCACCUCGAUGUCGGCUCAUCUCAUCCUGGGGCUGAAGCAGGUCCCAAGGGUAUGGCUGUUCGCCAUUUAAAGAGGUACGCGAGCUGGGUUUAGAACGUCGUGAGACAGUUCGGUCCCUAUCUACCGUGGGCGCUGGAAAUUUGAGAGGAUCUGCUCCUAGUACGAGAGGACCAGAGUGGACGAACCUCUGGUGUACCGGUUGUGACGCCAGUCGCAUCGCCGGGUAGCUAUGUUCGGAAGGGAUAACCGCUGAAAGCAUCUAAGCGGGAAGCCUACCUCAAGAUAAGAUUUCCCCGAGGCUUUAUGCCUCCUAAAGAGCCGUUCAAGACUAGGACGUUGA